rnacentral:lncRNA from 1 species
CGCCAGCCUCAUGCCGAGUCCCGCUAGAGAAGCCACAGCCAGUACGCCAGGUUUCCCCGCGCCUCUGCCGAGUGGGUUGAAGGCAAAUACUUGAAGUUGCAAUCGAAGGUCAAGAAAAUGGAAUCAAGAGGUCACAAUCCUUCUCUGAUGAUGGCUUAGAAAGCUGGAAGACACUCAACAUUGAAUCCUGGGGCUCUGUGCCAUGCUUGCUAGGAGAAACAGCCACCAUGAGUCCAUCUUUCAGAUCUCAAGUGAACAGGGAAGAGAUUACUGCGUUCAGCACAGGGACAUCUACAAAGAAGGGAAGAAGAAACAGGGACAGACCAGUGAAGCAAUAGAAUAGUUACGUGGUUGUCAUUCUCCAGCUGGGAUUGAGAACAAGGGGAAGCUGGCCAUAGAGCCAGGUGACCAAAGAUGGAAGACAAAGGGUGGGCUGUGAUUCCCAGAGCUCCAAGCCUUGUUCUGUCUUGUCACACCAACUGUUACUGAUGAACAGCUUGCAGUGCCAGUACCUUAAGACAGUUUUCUCCGUAAUGGGGCUAUGAGGGAAAUGAGCACCAAAGCACAUGACUUCAGGACAUGAGUGUGGGGUACAGGGAAAAGAGACAUGUUCUGAACCUGAAUGAAGCUGGGGAACCUCUCACCUGAGUGCCUGCAUUUGGCAGCCUGAUAUUUUCGGCAGCAGCAGUCACAUCAAUGAAGGCUCGCAUGAGAAUGUCCAAGUAGUUCAGUUUGGAAUAUUCCUGUUUGGAGACAGUGAAUGCAUUAGGGAAGUGAAAAGUGUCCUAGGCAAAGGCAAAUUACUUCCAUGGGACAGCCUCAAGCCAAGGUCAUACCUCUAGAAAUGUGCUGUUCCAUAACCUCGAGCGCAAAAUAAGAGACGCCUUGCUGUCCAGCCCCCGCAGCGGGCAUCUGAUGUUCACACAGUUCACGUUCACGCUACAGUUCUAGAGAGAAAAAGAAGAAUGGUCAUCAAAAGACAUUGUUCUGAAGAAAUCCUUCCCCUCAUCCUCUCAAAUAUUCACAGCUCUUGAAAAAUACUUACAAGAGUCUGGUAUUUUCUUUCAGCAAAUAAAGAAAAUUUUCUGUUAUCAUCUAUC